rnacentral:rRNA from 1 species
UGGGGAAUUUUGGACAAUGGGCGAAAGCCUGAUCCAGCCAUGCCGCGUGCAGGAUGAAGGCCUUCGGGUUGUAAACUGCUUUUGUACGGAAUGAAAAGACUCUGGUUAAUACCUGGGGUCCAUGACGGUACCGUAAGAAUAAGCACCGGCUAACUACGUGCCAGCAGCCGCGGUAAUACGUAGGGUGCAAGCGUUAAUCGGAAUUACUGGGCGUAAAGCGUGCGCAGGCGGUUAUAUAAGACAGAUGUGAAAUCCCCGGGCUCAACCUGGGAACUGCAUUUGUGACUGUAUAGCUAGAGUACGGCAGAGGGGGAUGGAAUUUCCGCGUGUAGCAGUGAAAUGCGUAGAUAUGCGGAGGAACACCGAUGGCGAAGGCAAUCCCCUGGGCCUGUACUGACGCUCAUGCACGAAAAGCGUGGGGAGCAAACAGGAUUAGAUACCCUGGUAGUCCACGCCCUAAACGAUGUCAACUGGUUGUUGGGUCUUCACUGACUCAGUAACGAAGCUAACGCGUGAAGUUGACCGCCUGGGGAGU